rnacentral:lncRNA from 1 species
CUUCCCCCUUCCCCACCCCCAAACCCCAACCCUAACAAGAGAAGAGAAGUUCAGCAACACCAACUCAUCUUCUACGAUUCCCAUACCAGACCCGAAUCCGUAUAACUCGACGCUAAUUAAGUCCCAAUUACAGCAAUGGUUAUCUAAAAUCUCCAAGCAAUUUCUCUCGACGGCGACGACUUUGACAACGGCUGAAUUUGCUAGGUCAAAAUUGCGUCUUUUGGUUCUUUUCUCUUCUCUUGCUCUUUCUUAUCGCCACCACCGCCGUCAAAAUAAGAGAUUGGGGGAAGGUUUGAGGGUCGUGUAAAGUUAUUUGUUGGUGGAAACUAAAGUUUCAAUAAAUUAAAAUUUAUUGGUGGGCGGCAGAUCUAGAGAAGAUGGUGGUGUUGGUGAAGGAGAGGUGAGAUGGUGGUGAGCUGCGGCAGAGCCGGCAACCCGGUGGAGAUAUGGUGGAUGAGUGCUGAGAGUUGGGUGGGAG